rfam:Vitis vinifera, whole genome shotgun sequence of line PN40024, unoriented chromosome 18, chr18
GGCUCACACUUAACCUCUGAUCUGCAGGUAAGUUCACUCGUUGAUAAGUUUUCAGUACUGAUGGU